UAGUGGCGAACGGGUGAGUAACACGUGGGCAAUCUGCCCUGCACUCUGGGACAAGCCCUGGAAACGGGGUCUAAUACCGGAUAACACUGUCCCCCUCCUGGGGGACGGUUGAAAGCUCCGGCGGUGCAGGAUGAGCCCGCGGCCUAUCAGCUUGUUGGUGGGGUAAUGGCCUACCAAGGCGACGACGGGUAGCCGGCCUGAGAGGGCGACCGGCCACACUGGGACUGAGACACGGCCCAGACUCCUACGGGAGGCAGCAGUGGGGAAUAUUGCACAAUGGGCGAAAGCCUGAUGCAGCGACGCCGCGUGAGGGAUGACGGCCUUCGGGUUGUAAACCUCUUUCAGCAGGGAAGAAGCGAAAGUGACGGUACCUGCAGAAGAAGCGCCGGCUAACUACGUGCCAGCAGCCGCGGUAAUACGUAGGGCGCAAGCGUUGUCCGGANUUAUUGGGCGUAAAGAGCUCGUAGGCGGUCUGUCACGUCGGGUGUGAAAGCCCGGGGCUUAACCCCGGGUCUGCAUUCGAUACGGGCAGACUAGAGUGUGGUAGGGGNAGAUCGGAAUUCCU
rnacentral:rRNA from 1 species